UGCCAAACAACUAACCCAAAAUUCAAAAAACAAUAAAUCCAUAUAAAUAACCCCAAAACCUCUAACAAAAUAAUAAACAAACCAUUUUUCCCCCUUAGUAUAGGUGAUAGAAAAGGACAUCCGGAGUAACAGAAAAAGUACCGCAAGGGAACGCUGAAAGAGAAAUGAAAUAACUCAGUAAAGCCCAUAAAAGCAGAGAUUAAACCUCGUACCUUUUGCAUCAUGAUUUAGCUAGAAACAACCCAAGCAAAGUGAACUUUAGUUUGAAACCCCGAAACUAAGUGAGCUACUCCAAGGCAGCCUAUUAAUAGGGCAAACCCGUCUCUGUGGCAAAAGAGUGGGAAGAACUUUGAGUAGAGGUGACAGACCUAUCGAACUUAGUUAUAGCUGGUUGCCCGAGAAUUGGAUAGAAGUUCAGCCUCUAAGCUUCUUUACUCCCUCGUCCUGACCCUACCAGACGUUUAAGAAACUAAGAGAGUUAGUCAAGGGGGGUACAGCCCCCUUGACACAAGAUACAACUUUACCAGGAGGGUAAAGAUCAUACUUAAAUAAGGUAAAAUGUCUCAGUGGGCCUAAAAGCAGCCACCCGAACAGAAAGCGUUAAAGCUCAGACAUACCCUAAUCCUCAAAUACUGAUAAUAUAUUCUUAACCCCCUAAUCUUAUCGGGCUUUCCCAUGCAUACAUGGGAGCAAUUAUGCUAAUAUGAGUAAUAAGAGACCCUACCAUCUCUCCUAGCAUAUGUGUAAAUCGGAACGGACCCCCCGCCGAAGCUUAACGGCCCCAAAUAAAGAGGGAACUGAACUAUAAACCCAACAACCAGAAAAACACUCAACCACUAACCGUUAACCC
rnacentral:rRNA from 1 species